rnacentral:lncRNA from 1 species
UUUUCCUUACUAUCUCGGUAUAGCUUAUAUAGCCAUAUUACAACUGUCAAACAAGAAAUUAGGAGAAAUACAAGUGGCUUAUUCAACUAGAAGAUAAUGACAGCAAAGCAAAUAACAAAGAAAUCUUUACUCACUAAGACUUAUUCAAAUACUAAAUUAAAUGGGAACGUGACAACUUAUCCCCCCUUAAGUUGCACUCUUG